UACAGAGGGUGCAAGCGUUGUUCGGAAUUACUGGGCGUAAAGCGCGUGUAGGUGGCGAUGUAAGUCGGGUGUGAAAUCCCUCAGCUUAACUGAGGAAGUGCACUCGAUACUGUGUCGCUUGAGUGUUGGAGGGGAUGGCGGAAUUCCCGGUGUAGAGGUGAAAUUCGUAGAUAUCGGGAGGAACACCGGUGGCGAAGGCGGCGACCUGGGUGGAUACUGACGCUGAGGCGCGAAAGCGUGGGGAGCAAACAGG
rnacentral:rRNA from 1 species